UACGUAGGUGGCGAGCGUUGUCCGGAUUUACUGGGCGUAAAGGGAGCGUAGGCGGACUUUUAAGUGAGAUGUGAAAUACUCGGGCUCAACUUGAGUGCUGCAUUUCAAACUGGAAGUCUAGAGUGCAGGAGAGGAGAAUGGAAUUCCUAGUGUAGCGGUGAAAUGCGUAGAGAUUAGGAAGAACACCAGUGGCGAAGGCGGUUCUCUGGACUGUAACUGACGCUGAGGCUCGAAAGCGUGGGGAGCAAACAGG
rnacentral:rRNA from 1 species